rnacentral:tRNA from 1 species
UUGUUGGGAAGAUUUAACUCCGUUAAUAGAUCUACAGUCUAUCGCUUGUGCUCAGCCACCAAACA